AGUGAACGCUGGCGGUAGGCCUAACACAUGCAAGUCGAACGGCAGCACAGUAAGAGCUUGCUCUUACGGGUGGCGAGUGGCGGACGGGUGAGGAAUACAUCGGAAUCUACUUUUUCGUGGGGGAUAACGUAGGGAAACUUACGCUAAUACCGCAUACGACCUACGGGUGAAAGCAGGGGAUCUUCUGACCUUGCGCGAUUGAAUGAGCCGAUGUCGGAUUAGCUAGUUGGCGGGGUAAAGGCCCACCAAGGCGACGAUCCGUAGCUGGUCUGAGAGGCUGAUCAGCCACACUGGAACUGAGACACGGUCCAGACUCCUUCGGGAGGCAGCAGUGGGGAAUAUUGGACAAUGGGCGCAAGCCUGAUCCAGCCAUACCGCGUGGGUGAAGAAGGCCUUCGGGUUGUAAAGCCCUUUUGUUGGGAAAGAAAAGCAGCAGGUUAAUACCCCGCUGUUCUGACGGUACCCAAAGAAUAAGCACCGGCUAACUCCGUG
rnacentral:rRNA from 1 species